CAGGACUUCAGAAACUUCUGCAAAUAUCGAAAACAUCCCUCAUCGCUCACAGAAGCUGUCCGGGGCUAAUCUGAGUUACUAACUUACACUAAAGACUGAAAUAAUGCCCAAAACUGCAGACGGUAAAGGAUCCCUUUCAGUCUGCCUGCUCGCCCUGUUCAAGAGAACCCGUUUCCCCAAACCAUCUCCCAGUGAGCUGAACUCUCUGGUUUUCUACCAUGCAGGGACUUUUGCUGUGAGAAGUUCAUCAAACAACGUACUUGAAGAGCACAAAAGCUCUUGGACUUGUUUUCAGGUGACAGGUUGCACAGGUACAGUGGACUAUCUACUUGGAUUGUGACUGACCAAGCGAUCAUCAAGUGGCAUUUGGCUGGUAUGCAUCCACCAUGUGGAAUUCUGGGAUUGUUAGUCUUUUAAGGAGUUGGAAAACCUGUUGGGCGACAGGUCACAGAGGAGGAGGCCGCGUUUCCCCGUCUUUAGCGCCUCAGAGAGCUGGAUCCGACCCACAAAAUCGUCCGGGGGACCUGGGGAAUCAGCCUGCUCUCUGGUGCCCUGGGGGACCCCAACUGUACACAGAGAACGUGUUGGUCCUACAGUACUCCCACCUGCAGCUGGAGAAAGAACCGGAAAGGGAGCCACGAGGUGAGCAGAGGGACAUCCUUCAUCACGUUUGUCCCCUGGGCGAAAGAGUUCAGCCUCGAUGGCCGGAACGCCACGUGGCCAGUGACCCUUCUCUCCAUCCUGGCCCUUACUAACGGACUAACAGACUUUUCACGUGUUUCACUUCACGGAUGUGCACAUGCAUUUACAAUAGAAUGUACAUUUAAAGAAGUAUAUAAAACAGAGGCAAAAAAAACCCCACUCAAUACUAAAGGCAAAACUCACUGUCAGACUGUACUGUGAGUUGGAAAAAAUACAAUAAAAACACAAUUAUAUCCAUGAUGAAAUAAAUGAUCCUAAUUAAAAUCAGAAGGAAUAAAUUAUGUGUUUGAAAUGUCAGCCAGUGCUGUAAAUCUGAAUCUCAGAAUGUCGUGGCCUCCUGCCAAUACAAAAAUGGAAUAUACAGUAAUAUAUUGCAAAUAUGUGGACUGAUAUGUAAUAUAUAAUGAAAAUAUAUCAUGAUGAAUACA